rnacentral:rRNA from 1 species
AUAAAUCACAAUGCGGAACAUUUGUUUUGCAAUUGGAUUGAGAACAACGCACAACACUUAUCGAUAAACAAUUGGAGGGCAAGUCUGGUGCCAGCAGCCGCGGUAAUUCCAGCUCCAAUAGCGUAUAUUAACGUUGUUGCAGUUAAAAAGCUCGUAGUUGAAGUGAAGUAUGAAACCUUAACGUUUUCAUUUGAAUUCGUUUUGGUUUGAUACUCUUUCCAAUUUGUGUGCAUGGGUAUUCAUUUAUCUGUGUAGGCAUUUGGUCAUUUACUGUGAGAAAAUUAGAGUGUUCAAAGCAUACGUUUGUUUGAAUACAUUAGCAUGGAAUAAUUCGAAAAGGCUUUCAUGUUCGAUUUGAUUGGUUUGUUCGUGAAGGCAAGAUUAAAAGGGACAGUUGGGGGUAUUCAUAUUCAAUAGUCAGAGGUGAAAUUCUCGGAUUUAUGGAAGAUGAACAAGUGCGAAAGCAA